CUGGCUCAGGAUGAACGCUGGCGGCGUGCCUAAUACAUGCAAGUCGAACGAGUUCUCGUUGAUGAUCGGUGCUUGCACCGAGAUUCAACAUGGAACGAGUGGCGGACGGGUGAGUAACACGUGGGUAACCUGCCCUUAAGUGGGGGAUAACAUUUGGAAACAGAUGCUAAUACCGCAUAGAUCCAAGAACCGCAUGGUUCUUGGCUGAAAGAUGGCGUAAGCUAUCGCUUUUGGAUGGACCCGCGGCGUAUUAGCUAGUUGGUGAGGUAAUGGCUCACCAAGGCGAUGAUACGUAGCCGAACUGAGAGGUUGAUCGGCCACAUUGGGACUGAGACACGGCCCAAACUCCUACGGGAGGCAGCAGUAGGGAAUCUUCCACAAUGGACGCAAGUCUGAUGGAGCAACGCCGCGUGAGUGAAGAAGGCUUUCGGGUCGUAAAACUCUGUUGUUGGAGAAGAAUGGUCGGCAGAGUAACUGUUGUCGGCGUGACGGUAUCCAACCAGAAAGCCACGGCUAACUACGUGCCAGCAGCCGCGGUAAUACGUAGGUGGCAAGCGUUAUCCGGAUUUAUUGGGCGUAAAGCGAGCGCAGGCGGUUUUUUAAGUCUGAUGUGAAAGCCCUCGGCUUAACCGAGGAAGCGCAUCGGAAACUGGGAAACUUGAGUGCAGAAGAGGACAGUGGAACUCCAUGUGUAGCGGUGAAAUGCGUAGAUAUAUGGAAGAACACCAGUGGCGAAGGCGGCUGUCUGGUCUGUAACUGACGCUGAGGCUCGAAAGCAUGGGUAGCGAACAGGAUUAGAUA
rnacentral:rRNA from 1 species